rnacentral:rRNA from 1 species
CCUACGGGAGGCUGCAGUGAGGAAUAUUGGUCAAUGGACGAGAGUCUGAACCAGCCAAGUAGCGUGAAGGAUGACUGCCCUAUGGGUUGUAAACUUCUUUUAUAAAGGAAUAAAACGAGGCACGUGUGCCUUUUUGCAUGUACUUUAUGAAUAAGGAUCGGCUAACUCCGUGCCAGCAGCCGCGGUAAUACGGAGGAUCCGAGCGUUAUCCGGAUUUAUUGGGUUUAAAGGGAGCGUAGAUGGGUUGUUAAGUCAGUUGUGAAAGUUUGCGGCUCAACCGUAAAAUUGCAAUUGAGACUGGUAGUCUUGAGUACAGUUGAGGUAGGCGGAAUUCGUGGUGUAGCGGUGAAAUGCUUAGAUAUCACGAAGAACCCCGAUUGCGAAGGCAGCUUACUAUACUGUGACUGACAUUGAUGCUCGAAAGUGUGGGUAUCAAACAGGAUUAGAUACCCGAGUAGUC